GUAAGGAAGAAACUAGAAAGAAGCACGAGAGAGAGAAAGGGAUGGGAGAGAGAGAGGGAUGUAAAUGGAGAGAAGAGAAAGUCCAGAGACAAGAAGAGAGGAAAUCGAUCAUGGAAGAGACUGUCUUCCGUCGUCUACGCCGGUCUUCGGCCGGCGGCCAUAAGAAAGUCCGUCGUCCCUAAUCAUCCGUCUUAGAACAAGAUCGAGAGAAAGGAGAAAAACCAACGCGUUCGUUCUGCUCUGCUCUGCUCUGCCCACCGGACCCCUGAUAUCAACUAUGUCGAUGCAUUGUUAUUUCACUUGCCAUCCAUUACUGUUUGAACCUUGCCGAGCUCUAAAUAUAUUAUUUCCUUCCUAUGUGAGGACUUUGAGCCUAGAGCAGUCAAUAUUUAUAUUUUUUUUUUCAUUGUGAUGUUAGAUCUAAAUUGACAUUCUAGAACUUGCCUCGAAAUGAUGUUGAACACACAUGAGGACCUGAUAGAAGUAAGAUGAUGGGGGCAUUAGGUAUACCUACUUGGCUUAAAUUAUCCUACCCAAAAAUUUUAUCCACUAGUUAACACUGCUGAGCCUUUUUAUAACCUUUUCAUUCUUCAAUUAAUCAUUAAUCCUUUAGCAAUAUACCAUUUUUUGGAUUUAUACCUUAUAUUGAUCCUUGUGUCGAAGGAAGAGUGGAAGUUUGAUGGCUAUCAUUUAUAUUCUUCUUGUACAAAAUGUAGAAAGGGAAAGUAUUGUGUUGUUGAUGUUUACAAAAAAGAAAAUAAAACAAAGGGGCUAGACCCCAACAAAACAAAACAAAAAAAAAACAAAACAAAACAAAAAACAAAGUGCUGAAACAAAGCAGCACAAAAAAGAAAAAAGAAAACAAAAAAAAAAAAAACAAAAAUGAGUGGAGUUACGGUUACCAAUGUAAUGUUGAUUUCAGUUCUUACAAGUGAUAUGCUUUAAUUCUUUCCAUUGUUGUUUCGACACUUUUAGCCGUUCAUUAUCUUUUUUCUACCUAUACCCCGAGCCCCAUUACACCUGUUUAAAGACCCCCUGAUACUUGUCAUUAGGUCCCUUAAGUGAGGGAGAUAUGAUUGACAUGCAAGCCUAUGGGAUUGUCAUUUUUAUGAUUUAACUUGAGUGCAUACACUAACCCAUGGUGAGGUUUGUUGAGCUCAGCUUGGUUCACUCAUUAUUAUUAUCCAUUUAGCUGUGAUGCCGGGUGAAAGAUUGGAGUGCAUUGUUCAAGUACCACAAUGGAAAUGCAGUGCCUACUCAAAGAAAUGAACAAAAAGACGAGAGAAAAAAGAUCAGAAAAAAAAAAGAACUGAAAAAAAAGGAAAAAAAAAGAGAAAAAAGAAAAAGAAAAGCAAAAAAAGAAAGUCAAUCAAAGUGCAGAUGUCGAACCUGUUGGUGGCUGUGAAAGAAAACAUGAAAACAAAGAAACAAAGGAACUCAUUAGGUCAAAACAUCCUAUGUCGGCCUUCAUCUACUCACACAAGUGCCAAGCUGCAUUAAUUGUAAAAAAUAAGAACAUUGUGGAGGUUUUGAAGACCGUCGGUGAGGGUUGGACAUGCAAUACUUACAUUUGGGGGCAAAAUGGAAGACAAUUAAUGAAGUCGUGAAGGAAAACAAGAAAACUAAAUAGCAAGGAAAAGGACAUAUUAAAGCCAAAACAUCCUAUGUCAUGUCUCUAUCUACUCGAACAAACGGUGAACUACAUUGAUUGAAGAGAAUAAGAACAUUGUUGAGAUUGUGUCGGUGAGAAUGUGCUAUUCUUUUGAAGUUGAGAAAAGAUAUUCAUCCUCUUUUGAAUGCCAAAGUUGAAAAGCACCACAAUGGACAUACAGUGCCUACCCAAAAAAACGAAAGGAAAAAAGAAAGAAAGAAAAAAAAAUUCUGAAAAAAAAACGGUUAAAAAAACAGAAAUGAAAAAAAAAUAGAGAAAAAAGAAAAAGAAAGAUAAAAAGCAAAAAAGUUUAAAAAAAAAGAAAAAAAAAAAAGAAAGCUGUGAAAGAAAAAAAGAAAAAAAGGUGAGUAUAUAUGAAUUUGUUUACUUUUACUAAAUCCUAUUGGUUGAUAGUUUGUUAUACAAUCAUAUAUGAUUCUUCUACACAGAUAGGAAGGUAAAGGACCCAUUACGGCCGAAACAUCCUAUGUUGGCCUUCAUCUACUCGAACAAGUGCCGAGCUACAUUGAUUUUAGAGAAUAACAACAUUGUGGAGGUUUUGAAGACCGGCAGUGAGGGGUGGACAUGCAAUACUUACCCAAGGAAAGUAAAAUAAAUAAAAAAGAAGAAAAGAUGAAACAGAAAAGAAAGCCAAUCCAAAUGCUCACUUCAAAGAGAUGCGAACUUGUUGGGGGCAAAAUGGAAGACAAUUAGUGAAAUCGUGAAAGAAAACAAGAAAACUAAAGAUGGAAAAUGACAUAUUAAAGCCAAAACAUCCUAUGUCAGGACUCCAUCUACUCGAACAAGCGGUGAGCUACAUUGAUUGAAGAGAAUAAGAACAUUGUUGAGAUUGUGCCGGUGAAGAAAGGACAUGAAGAAUGUGCUUAAAAGUACGGUAUGGCUAUUUUUUUGAAGUUGAGAAGAGAUAUUUUAUCCUCUUUUGGAUGCCAAAGCUUUUUGGGCAGGGGAUGGUAUAUCCUUGGCUUAAUUACAUCUCAUUAAUGUUUUCUUUAUAAUGCAGCACCACAAUAGACAUGCGGUGCCUACCCAAAAAAACGAAAAGAAAAAAAAGAAAGAAAAAAAAAUUCUGAAUAAAAAAAACAGUUGAAAAAAAAAAUGAAAAGAAACAGAAAAAAGAAAAAAAAAAGAAAAAAGCAAAAAAAUUUGAAGAAACAGAAAGAGAAUAAAAAAAAAGAAUAGAAAAAAAAGAAAGCUGUGAAAGAAAACAAGUGUCGAGCUACAUUGAUUUUAGAGAAUAAGAACUUUGUGGAGGAAGGAAAAAGACCCGUUAAAGCCGAAACAUCCUAUCUCGGCCUUCUUCUACUCAAAUAAGUGGCAAGCUAUAUUGAUUGAAGAGAAUAAGAACAUUGUCGAGAUUGUGAAGAUGUGAGGGAUGGACAUGAAGAAUAUGCAUCAAAAGUAUGGUUUUGCUACUUUGUUGAAGUUGAGAUGAGAUAUUCAUCAUCUUUUGGAUGCCAAAGCUAAAAACGUAAGUGUUUGGGCGGGAGAUGGUUUAUCGUUGGCCUUAUUUUGUGUUACAGUUUGCAAGUUUGUGCUUUUUUUGUUGUUGUUCUUACUGUAUUAUUUUGCAAAGAGAUCAACAAAAAAAGGUUGAAAAAUAGAAAAAAAAAAAGAAAAGAAAAGAGCUGGAAAAGGGGAAAAAAAUUGAAAAAAAUGGAAACAAAGAUGAAAAAAUUAAGAAAAAAACAAAAGAAAACAUGAAAAAAAAAAAAGAGAGAAGAAAAAAAUUGAAAAAAAAGCCAAUCCGAUGUUGACCUUAAGGAAAUGUAGAACCUGCCGGUGGCAAAAUGGAAAACAAGUCACGAAAGAGAACAAGAAAACAAAGAAGAAAAAGAACUCAUUAAGCAGAAACAUCCUAUAUGACAUGAUUGUAGAGAACAAGAAUAUUUUGGAGGUUGUGAAGACGGCUGGUGAGGGUUGGACAUGCAGGACUUACCCAAGGGAAAAAAAAAAAAACGAAAAAAGAACUACAAAGAGACAAGGAAAGGGUCAGAUGCUGAAAUGUUGCGCACUUAUGCUACUGGCCUGCUGGCUGCAUGCUUGGAGAAUGGUGGUCAUCUAGUGGAAGAUGUGUUUACAUAAUGUGAUAUCUACGAGUACGAUUAACACAAACCAAAAGCUUCUAAGGUAUUGUUUGACAACAAAAGUGUGUCCAGCAUGGCUCUAAAGGCCAAAGAGGAUGGCAGGGGUAGGUCAAAGCAAGUGACAGAGAGUUCUCACAUGGAUACUGAGACUAUCAGAGCCCAUCCUACUGAGAGUGAACGUGAAAAAGAUCCCACAUCUAUAGACAACCUUGAUUGAGAUGAUGAGAGGUGUGGCAAUAUGCAAACUUAUGGGGAUGUGUAAUGAGGUGAUGAGGAACAUCUUGAUAGUGUAGCUCCUGAGGUUGAUGCAUAUGAUGCUGAAGCAGAUAGUGACGAGAAGUGGCAUACUAGGGAUCUUUGCCAGUCAAAAGAAAAAACUGGUGGAAAAUCUCAUGGGGAAAAAGACUUUGAAGGAGUAUCGAUCGCGAUCAAGAGGUAGGUCCAAUGAAGGAUUUUCUGAGAAUGCCUCUCCAGGUUCUGCCAUUAGAUCUGGAGUGGGACAGAAUGGGAAAGAAAAAAGUCCGAUGAGAAGUCAAGAACCGAGAAAAGCUUUUGAUGCUAAAAAAGGUUUAGGUAGAAACAAUGGCGAUUCUUUCAUCCUUGAAAGGGAUGAUACUGAUGAUUGCUUCCAACGAUGCAAGGUUGGCUCCAAAGACAUUACUGAGUUGGUUAUGAAAGCAGUCAGAGCUCCUGAGCCGAAGCAAGAACAGCCCAUGCACCUGCCUGUGCCAUUAAGGCUGCAGGUGCUGCUGCUGCUGAGGUCGUUAAGACAGCUGAUUAGAGUGCAGGAAUACAAGAAGACGAAUGAUGAAGAAGCUAUUGUGGUUGCUGCAUCUAGAUCUUCAUCCCACUGUUAUGGAUGCUGCCAGUGCUCCUGAGUUGGUUAUGAAAGCAGUCAGAGCUCCUGAGCCGAAGCAAGAACAGCCCAUGCACCUGCCUGUGCCAUUAAGGCUGCAGGUGCUGCUGCUGCUGAGGUCGUUAAGACAGCUGAUUAGAGGAAUACAAGAAGACGAAUGACGAAGAAGCUAUUGUGGUUGCUGCAUCCAGAUCUUCAUCCCACUGUUAUGGAUGCUGCCAGUGCAGUUGCUCUUGCAAGGUGGUCAUUCCCUUCUGAAGUUGAGAGAGAAAUCUGUAUCCAGUGUCUUGUGUUUCUUGGGGAGUAUGUCGAAGUUCUUGGUCCUGUACUCCAUGAGAAGGAGUAGAUGUAUGCCUUGCACUAAUGCUGCGAAGUCUUAAGCUCAAAGAAACACCCUACACUAAAUUCCUUAUAGCCGCAAACCUUCUGUGAAUGCUACAUUGACCAAUGAUCGGGUUGGUAUAGCUGUCAUUUUGGAUGCUGCAAAUCGUGAUGGCUAUUAUGAACCUGAGUUGUAGAUUGUUGAAUCAGCGUUGAAUUUGUUAAUAAACCUUGUGUGCCCUCCUUCAUCAAUAAGCAAUAACCCAAGUCUCAUGCAAGGUCAGCAAGCUUCUUCUAGCCAACAUGGAAAUCAAUCUGCUAUAAACUCCAGGGACAGAAAUUCAGAGAGGAAUGUCCCAGAGCGUGGUCCAAAUCAGAAUGGAUCAAGGGUUCGAACUGGGGAACUGACACCUAUGCCAUCAUCUGUUGGUAACACUUCAUCAUCACAGGCAUCUGCUUCAUUAGUUGCUUCUGGUUUAGUUGGAGAUCGCAGGAUUUCGUGCUUGGCUUGGUGCUCAGCUUGAACAAGGAUAUCGUCAAGCUAGAGAAGCUGUUCCUGUAAAGCAUGCUUCUUCAGGUUAUCCAACCUCGAAUGGUGACAUCCCCUACAGCUCUUGAUUGUCUUCGUGCUCUUACAUGCCUAGUGCUUUUAGGUUGAUGCUAUUGCAAUAUUGACCAAAUUUCAGGUUGGGAAAAGUUAUCAGAGCUCAUCCGAGUGGGAGCCAAACUGCCAGUGGUGACCAAAAUAGAUGGCGGCCGACUUAACUCAAGUGAGCUUAUUGGUAGUCAUAAACUCUGAGGUGUGGGAUCUCCGGAGCCAUCAUUAGAUCAGGCGGUCGGUGAUAACAUUUAAUGCCAGUGGUGAUGUUAUAUAUGCAAUCCUCAGGCGAAAUCUAGAGGAUGUCACUUCAGCAUUCAAUGCACGCCGUGUGAAGCACCCUCUUUUUUCUGCUUUUUGCAUUGUGGAUGCUGUCAACUAUUCGGAUAUUGCAAAAGUUCCCGUGGAUCCCUGGCGUAGUUGCUAAAUUAUUCCUAGACUCUCUGCAGCAGAAACAAGAAGACAAAUAUAUUAUUCACAGACUCAUGAUUUACGAAUAUCCUCUACAUGUGGAUGCAGCAGCAAAUUGUGAAGUUACAUCACUUUGCAUUGAAUAGAAUUGGUGCAUGCGAGCGUGGUCCGAAUCAGUUGAAUCAAGGGACCGAACUGGGAAACUGAUGCCAUCAUCUGUUGGUCAUCAUCACAGGCAUCUGCUAGUUGCUUCCGGUUUAGUUGGAGAUUUAGGUGCUCGAGCAGGUUGUGCUGGGCUGGUUUGAAUGGUGACAUCCCCUGCAGCUCUUGAUUGUCUUCGUGCUCUUACAUGCCGAGUACUUUAGCAGCUAGUGAUGCAGCGACCCCCACUUUGAGACCAUUGAAAGAGGAGCAGCCACUGCUGCUGCUACUCCAGUUUCUUAUCAUUCUAGGGCUUAUCCAUGAGCACCUUCAAUUAUCUGGAUUAGGCUAUCACCAAUGCCAUCCUUGGCUGCUCCAUCAUCUUUAGCACAACACGCAUCUGGGCAGGAGUUGUCAUCAGUACAAAUGCAAUAGCCAUUCCAGCUUGAGAAGCUUAUCCAUGAGCAUCUGGAUUAGGUGAGACUGCAUCUUUGCUAAGUUAUCACCAUUGGCUGCUCCAUCAUCUUUAGCACAACACGCAUCUGGGCAGGAGUUGUCAUCAAUACAAAUGCAAUGGCCAUCUGAAUGAGCAACUUGUGGAUUCUUGUUGGAUAGACCAAACGUAUUCCAGCUUGAGAAGUGAGCCUUGCACUUUGUCCUCAAAGAAGAAACCAAGAUUGUUGAACCAGCGUUGAAUUUGUGCCGAAUAAGCAAUAAGCCAAGUCUAAUGCAAGGUCAGCAAGCUUCUUCUACCCAAGCUGGAAAUCAAUCUGCUAUAAACUCCAGGGACAGAAAUUCAGAGAGGAAUGUCCCAGAGCGUGGUCCAAAUCAGAAUGAAUCAAGGGAUCAAACUGGGGAACUGACACCUAUGCCAUCAUCUGUUGGUAACACUUCAUCAUCACAGGUAACACUUCAUCAUCACAGGCAUCUGCUUCAUUAGUUGCUUCUGGUUUAGUUGGAGAUCGCAGGAUCUCAUGCUUGGACAAGGAUAUCGUCAAGCUAGAGAAGCUGUUCGUUCAAGGCAUGGUAUAAUGGUUCUUCUUCAGCUUCUCCAACCUCGAAUGGUGACAUCCCCUGCAGCUCUUGAUUGUCUUCGUGCUCUUACAUGCCCGAGUGCUUUUAGGUUGAUGCUAUUGCACAUAUAUUGACCGAACUUCAGGUGGAUUCGAACAUAUACUGAAAGCGAGGAAGACGAUGAUGAUAAUGACAGUGAGGUUCUUGAAUCUUUCAGCAGUGACGAUCUUCUGUGAUCGAUCCUUCUUAAAGCUGCAAUCCUGCAGCUGAAGAUGCUCACACUUUUACGAUAAAUCUCAUGAGAAUUGGUUGAAUCAAGAACAACAUCGUGAGGGGCAAGGCUAAUAAACCAAACCCGAUGAGAAUUGGUACAUAACUUUCUUUCAUUUUGUUGAGAUUAAAUUGAUGCAUGAUAUCAAAUUGAUGUGUUUUCACUCUCGUGAGGUUGAAUCAAGAACAAUCAUGAUAAGAAUUGGUUGAAUCAAGAAUAUCAUCGUGAGUAGAGGGAAGGAUUAGAGGCCAAAUCCGACAAGAAUUGGUUGAAUCAAGAACAACAUUGUGAUGUUAAAAGGGCAAGGCAUACGGACCAAUCAUGAUAAGAAUUGGUUGAAUCAAGAACAACAUCAUGAGUAGAGGGAAAGAUUAGAGGCCAAAUUCAACAAGAAUUGGUUGAAUCAAAAACAACAUUGUGAUAUUAAAAGGGCAAGGCAUACAUACCAAUCGUGAUAAGAAUUGGUUGAAUCAAGAACAACAUCAUGAGUAGAGGGAAAGAUUAGAGGCCAAAUCCGACAAGAAUUGGUCGAAUCAAGAACAACAUUGUGAUGUUAAAAGGGCAAGGCAUACAUACCAAUCAUGAUAAGAAUUGGUUGAAUCAAGAACGACAUUGUGAUGUUAAAGGGGCAAGAGGCAUACGGACCAAUCAUGUGAUAAGAAUUGGUUGAAUCAAGAACAUCAUCGUGAGUAGAGGGAAGGAUUAGAGGCCAAAUCCGACAAGAAUUGAUUCAGUUGAUAAGGCAAGACAACGUAGUAGGUUUCGAAGACGAGGAGGCAACGGUCAAGGGCUACCUCAAGGAAGAAACCGAGGAGCUCGACAUUGUGUCCAUCAUCGGGAUGCCCGGUUUGGGCAAGACGACCGUGGAAGAUUUUCCAGGAUAAGGGGAUCCAGUAAGAAUUCCCGAUGCGCAUAUGGAUUUACGUUUCGCAGGAUUUCAAUCGAAGAGAUGUCUUGCUCAAGAUCCUUAAAGGGUACACCGAUCUAGACAUGUCUGGAAACACUGAUCUCCACUUGGCUCAGGCUGUCCGAACCUACCUCGAACAAGAAAAUUUUUGCUAGUGAUGGACGAUGUUUGGGACGUUCAAGCGUGGAACGAUAGCAAGCUGGCUUUGCCCAAGGAAAGGAAAAAUAGCAAGGUUUCGAUAACGAGUCGGACAAAAAAUGUCGGGACUCAUGCGAAUCCUAGUAGAAAUCCGCACAAUCUACGGUUUCUCACUGAGGUUGAAAGUUGGGAUCUUUUGCAGUGCGAAGUGUUUGGGAAGCUCAAUUGUUGCCCCGACAAGUUGAAAGGUAUCGGGAGGCUGAUCGCCAAGCAAUGCGACGGACUACCGCUUGCGCUUGUGGUGAUCGGAGGUAUUCUCGUGGACUACACGUCGCAGUUGAUUUUUAAAGUGUCCCAUGUUUUUUAUGUGCCAUUGUUGUCUUGAAUAAAUUUUCACGGUACUUUGAGCUAUUUUUGACUUUCAUGUUGAGACGAGGACGAUGCCUAAUAUGAACUUAAUUUUUUCGACAUAAAGCAACGGUCGACUUCAAGUUCGACAUAUGAGUGUAA